rnacentral:lncRNA from 1 species
UGAAAAGAGAAGGACCCAAGGGAUGAUGAUGAUGAUGAUUGCUGUGAGCAACUUUGUUCCAUUGAGGAUUCUUCCUCUGCAUAACAGAAAACCCAGGAUAUUGCAAUUCCCGAAAGAGAGUCGACACUUGCAAAGAGAGUCGACACUUGCAAUUCCCGAAAGAGGAUUCUUCCUCUGAUUCCAAGAGAGUCGACAUCAUUGAAUAUCACCCUCUUGAAUCUGUCUCUCUCUCUGUAAUAAUUCCUUUUCUUGUUGUGUCUUGAAAUUAUUAUUUGAAAAAAAAAGAGUUAAUUUUCUACCUUUUCGUUUUUUUUUUUUGUUAAUUUUAAAUGGUUUUUUUAGGUGGAGAAAAAUCACGAGGACAUGAAAAGAAUAACACUUGCAAAUGCUUAUGGGUUUUUUUAGAUAUGUGUUUUUACUGAUUUAUUUUUUGUUUAAUAGCCUCUUUCGUGAUUAAAUGUAUUAUUUUGAUUAGUUUAUACGAUUUGUUUGCUUUCUUGGAAUAACUGGGGAUAUAGAUUUCUCUGGCUUUCUUGUGUUGAUGAGAAGAGAAGAAGAAACGCUUAGAUUUCUCUGGUUUUCUUGGAAUUUGUAAUGUGAAGCUACAUCCUUGACUGCUCAGUUCAACUCCUAAUUUAAUUUGGUGUGUUGUGGAUAAGAAAGAAAGCUGCAGUUACCUUUUUAAGCAGAAGAUAUCUGAUCUACGAAUAUAUCUUUUAGCUGAUUACUUUUAAGCACAAAACCACAGUGUAUUGUGCUUACUCAAAAUAUUUUAGUGAAUCCAUUUUUUAUUUUCUUCAUCGCUUCUUUCAUUCUGUAGGUUCUGUGUUAGACUUACCUUGUAACCGCUGCUGCAAAUAUUUUAGCAUUCCUUUGCACAGCCUUUUUGAAGCUAAAGUUAUCGCUGACAAUAUUGUACAUGCAACCAGGAAAAGAGAAGGAUUGGUAUUGGCUACAUUACUACAAUUCUUAUCAUAAAUGUUUGUGGUGAUUUGGUUGGUUAGAAAGUGUCUCUAGCAACUAGAUUUACUGUCUUGUUUGUUGUUCAACUAACUUUUAUUUGCAAGUUGGUGGCCUUAGGUUUUAGAAACAGUAGUGAUGAACUCUAUCUCUACUACUGUCUCAAUUUAAUGACAUACAAAGAGCACCAACAGCAAGGCUAUAUAGAAUCUGCUAUGAUUCGUGUAGAAAUCCAUUUUGGUUGAGUUGCUGAUGUUUUUUUUCCCCUUGUUUUACAGGUAGGAACGACAGCAGAACGUUAGAGGUUUACAUCUGAGGAAAUUUUUUCUGUCAGGAUUGGGGGAUUCAAAAUAAAUUCUGGGAUUUUCUAAUGUUUCCACAUUUGUAUAAAGUUUUGAUUGUUACAUGGAUGGUGUUAAUGCAAGAAGAACACUAAUUUUCUG